UUUUUUUCAAUUUAAAAAUUCCGGUAUAAAUAGUGAGUUUAAAAGUGGAAAUAUGUUACACGUUCAUUUGUUAACGAAACUAGCAUCAUGAAUUCCAAACUUUGCUUAGUCUUUGUUGUCAUAGCCAUUUUGGCAGUUUUAGCCCCAGCGAUGGGAAAUCCACAAUUGGGAAUUUUAGGACAGAUCAAAGAAUUGGGUGACCAAAUACUUAGCAUUGCUGGAGCCCACAAUAACGAUGCUGAAGAUGUACAAACUCUCCAUGCUCGCCGUGGAUAAGAACUGUAUACUUUAUUUAUUGCUUUGUAAUAUUUUGAAACUCCCAUUUAAUUUCAAUGCAAUAAAAACAGUUUGUUAAA